GAAUUUGAUCGUGGCUCAGAGCGAACGCUGGCGGCGUGCCUAACACAUGCAAGUCGAACGUGAAAGGGAGCAAUCCUGAGUAAAGUGGCGUACGGGUGAGUAACGCGUAGGUAAUCUAACCUAAAGCCUGGAAUAACCGGCCGAAAGGCUGGCUAAUACUGGAUAGAGCGAGGAAUUCGUAAUUGGGGUUUUUCGGGAAAGGGAGGAAGCAAUUCCCUUCACUUUAGGAUGAGCCUGCGCCCCAUCAGCUAGUUGGUGAGGUAACAGCUUACCAAGGCAAUGACGGGUAGCUGGUCUGAGAGGAUGAUCAGCCACACUGGAACUGAAACACGGUCCAGACUCCUACGGGAGGCAGCAGUGGGGAAUCUUGCGCAAUGGACGAAAGUCUGACGCAGCAACGCCGCGUGAGUGAAGAAGGCCUUAGGGUUGUAAAGCUCUGUCGCCCGGGACGAAAAUUAUUAGGUGAAUAGCCUAGUGAUCUGACGGUACCGGGAGAGGAAGCACCGGCU
rnacentral:rRNA from 1 species